rnacentral:rRNA from 1 species
CCAAUAGCGUAUAUUAAAGUUGUUGCAGUUAAAAAGCUCGUAGUUGAAUUUCGGGAUCAGUACGCUGGUCGUGCCUCCGGUAUGUACUGGUGUCACUGAUUCCUCCCUUCUGAAGAACCAUCAUGCCAUUCACUUGGUGUGGUGGGGAAUCAGGACUGUUACUUUGAAAAAAUUAGAGUGUUUAAAGCAGGCUCGCGCUUGAAUACAUUAGCAUGGAAUAAUGAAAUAGGACGUUUAUCCUAUUUUGUUGGUUUCUAGGAUUGACGUAAUGAUUAAUAGGGAUAGUUGGGGGCAUUAGUAUUCGAUUGUCAGAGGUGAAAUUCUUGGAUUUAUUGAAGACUAACUACUGCGAAAGCAUUUGCCAAGGAUGUUUUCAUUAAUCAAGAACGAAAGUUAGGGGAUCGAAGACGAUCAGAUACCGUCGUAGUCUUAACCAUAAACUAUGCCGACUAGGGAUCGGAUGAUGUUAAUUUUUUAAUGACUCAUUCGGCGCCUUACG